UACGUAGGUGGCAAGCGUUGUCCGGAUUUACUGGGCGUAAAGGGCGUGCAGGCGGCUUGUUAAGUGCAGGGUGAAAGCUCCCGGCUCAACUGGGAGAGGUUCUUGCAUACUGGCGAGCUCGAGGGAGGCAGAGGAAAGUGGAAUUCCCGGUGUAGUGGUGAUAUGCGUAGAUAUCGAGGAAGACACCCGUGGCGAAGGCGGCUCUC
rnacentral:rRNA from 1 species